UACGUAGGGGGCGAGCGUUGUCCGGAGUUACUGGGCGUAAAGGGCAUGCAGGCGGUCCGACACGUUUUGUGUGACAGCGGGUGGCCUAACUACCCGAGGAUGCGAAAGACGGUUGGACUUGAGGACUCGAGAGGGACACGGAAUUCCGGGUGGAGUGGUGAAAUGCGUAGAGAUCCGGAGGAACACCGAAGGCGAAGGCAGUGUCCUGGCGAGUGACUGACGCUGAGGUGCGAAAGCCAGGGGAGCGAACGGG
rnacentral:rRNA from 1 species